GACGAACGCUGGCGGCGCGCCUAACACAUGCAAGUCGAACGGAGCUAUGUUGAAAGCUUGCUGGAUAUAUAGCUUAGUGGCGGACGGGUGAGUAACACGUGAGUAACCUGCCUUUCAGAGUGGAAUAACGUUUGGAAACGAACGCUAAUACCGCAUAACGUCAGAGGACGGCAUCGUUCUUUGACCAAAGAUUUAUCGCUGAAAGAUGGGCUCGCGGCCGAUUAGGUAGUUGGUGAGAUAACAGCCCACCAAGCCGACGAUCGGUAGCCGGACUGAGAGGUUGAUCGGCCACAUUGGGACUGAGACACGGCCCAGACUCCUACGGGAGGCAGCAGUGGGGGAUAUUGCACAAUGGGGGGAACCCUGAUGCAGCGACGCCGCGUGAGGGAAGACGGUUUUCGGAUUGUAAACCUCUGUCUU
rnacentral:rRNA from 1 species